rnacentral:tRNA from 1 species
GUCGGGAAUAGCUCAGUUGGUAAARCAAAAGGACUGAAAAUCCUCGUGU